GUUCCUCUUCUGUAAAUCUGAAGAAAGAUUAUUUAGCAGUUAACAUCUUAAUCCUUUAGGUGCAGCUUUUCUUUUGAAUUCAGAAUGCCAGGCAAAGGCAGGGGAAGUACCUCUGCAAAAGGCAACUCCCCAGAGAGCAGCUCCUGUUAAAGGGAGAUUAUAACUAUGAUUUACUGGGUGUUACUAUCUAGGUGUUGAGAAGCAAUUCCCUAUGUUUUACACCAGUUGAUACCUCUUCACUCGGGAAAGUGCUAAGGGUUGUGUGACCAUGGGAGGUUAGAUGUGCAGCUCCUUUCUGUGUGGAAGGCUGAACUGUCAUCCUUGCCUGGUGUGACCCGUGAUGUUGCUGAUGGUCUUUCCCAUGGAACAGCUGUCAUCUUCCAUAGCUCUUUUGUCCUUGAUUCUCUUCCUGCUAUGUGAAUCCCAUCAGCUCCCAGUUCUAGUUUUCAAAUUUCAAAUUUCCCCCCUAUUCUGUGUAGCAGUUUUCUCUCCCUUUUGCUGUAUGAGAGGAAAAACAAAACCAAUACUUUUUUUUUCUUUUACAUGUCUAGAUUCUUGAUUGGGUCUCUGUAAUAAAGGGCAGAUUAUUAAGAGAAAAGCAAACAGAAGUUUAUUAACAUGAAUAUCUCAUAUUUAUGUGGGAGAAACUCAGAGAUGAAUAACUCAAAAGGGUGGUCAAAAUUUUGGGGUUUAGAUUUCAACAAAGAAUAGGAUCUUUGGGGCUUCUGGGUAGGGGAGGCAAGUUAUGGGAAGGUAACCUGGAAAAGUAGGAUAAACAAGAGUAAGUUUCAUUAUGCAGAUUUACGAUUCUUUUUCAUUAAUAAGAGUCUCCUGGUACUGAAUGAGGAACACCCUUCUGAAUGGAGAUUUUCUUUAUAAAUGUAAAAUUUUCUUACAAAACCUCUGCCACCAGAACUUUUCCUGUAUCUGCUGAAAAAAAUAUUUCUCAAAGUAAUCAGCUCAAAAUACCCUUAUGGCAAAUAUCCAUAUUUUAGAGUGGCAUAUUCUGGUCUCCUACAUUCUUGUG
rnacentral:lncRNA from 1 species